CGGGAGGCAGCAGUAGGGAAUCUUCCACAAUGGACGAAAGUCUGAUGGAGCAAUGCCGCGUGAGUGAAGAAGGGUUUCGGCUCGUAAAACUCUGUUGUUAAAGAAGAACACCUUUGAGAGUAACUGUUCAAGGGUUGACGGUAUUUAACCAGAAAGCCACGGCUAACUACGUGCCAGCAGCCGCGGUAAUACGUAGGUGGCAAGCGUUGUCCGGAUUUAUUGGGCGUAAAGCGAGCGCAGGCGGUUUUUUAAGUCUGAUGUGAAAGCCUUCGGCUUAACCGGAGAAGUGCAUCGGAAACUGGGAGACUUGAGUGCAGAAGAGGACAGUGGAACUCCAUGUGUAGCGGUGGAAUGCGUAGAUAUAUGGAAGAACACCAGUGGCGAAGGCGGCUGUCUAGUCUGUAACUGACGCUGAGGCUCGAAAGCAUGGGUAGCGAACAGGAUUAGAUACCCUGGUAGUCCAUGCCGUAAACGAUGAGUGCUAAGUGUUGGAGGGUUUCCGCCCUUCAGUGCUGCAGCUAACGCAUUAAGCACUCCGCCUGGGGAGUACGACCGCAAGGUUGAAACUCAAAGGAAUUGACGGGGGCCCGCACAAGCGGNGGANCAUGUGGUUUNAUUCGAAGCUACGCGAAGAA
rnacentral:rRNA from 2 species